CGUUCUAUGGUAAUUGGGAAAGGCAUCGCCGAUCACAGGCGAGGUUGCGGGUUCGAGUCCCGUUAGAACGA
rnacentral:tRNA from 1 species